rnacentral:lncRNA from 1 species
UGAACUUCCUCUUUUCCACGCCAAAUUUCAACUGUGGAAAAGGGAAUCCAAAUAUUACAGUUUGAAAAAAAAAAAAUUUCAGUAUUUUACAACUAUGUAAAUAAAUGCGUACUGAAUAAACGUAAAAGAUAACAAAAAACUCGAUCUUGAAACUCCUGAUCGCUCAUCAUACCUCAGGUUCACUGAAAGUCUGUCCAUCCGAUAAUGGCGUCCAAGGAUUGUUUACAUGAACUGGACCUUUCUCCUUUAAUUUCCUAGAUUCUUCA